rnacentral:tRNA from 1 species
GCCUGGGUGGCUAGUCGGUUAAGCUUCCGACUUCAGCUCAGGUCACGAUCUCAUGGUUUGUGGGUUCGAGCCCCACCUCAGGCU